rnacentral:rRNA from 1 species
UACGUAGGGUGCAAGCGUUAAUCGGAAUUACUGGGCGUAAAGCGUGCGCAGGCGGUUUUGUAAGUCUGUCGUGAAAGCCCCGGGCUCAACCUGGGAAUUGCGAUGAAGACUGCAAGGCUUGAAUCUGGCAGAGGGGGGGUAGAAUUCCACGUGUAGCAGUGAAAUGCGUAGAGAUGUGGAGGAACACCGAUGGCGAAGGCAGCCCCCUGGGUCAAGAUUGACGCUCAUGCACGAAAGCGUGGGGAGCAAACAGGA